GUCAGAAUGGCCGAGUGGUCAAGGCGCCAGACUCAAGUUCUGGUCUCCAGAUGGAGGCGUGGGUUCAAAUCCCACUUCUGACA
rnacentral:tRNA from 1 species